UGGCUUCCCCAGCACUGAGCUUGGGCACGCCUCUUCCACCCCAUCUUACCGCUCCAGGACCUGGUGCUCCUCCCCUGCUGCUGUCAGCCCUGCUGGCUAAGGUUGCUGUGACAAAUGCUUGGCUGAGUCAGUUUCCCAGGAUGCCAAGCGAGCGUGCAUUCCAAGGGAUGCCAGCGCAGUGCCAGGGCCUCUGGGGUCAGAAGGCAGAGCGGGGCCAACUCAGGAGCUGCCUGUAACCCUCUCUGUGUCUUUGAUGUCCCUUGGAAAGAGCUGCCACUCCUGCUUUUCCUAAGCUGGCCACACAGAAGGCUGUCAGGGGACGUUUGUCAAGGAUGAUCUUUAAUUGCAAAUAAAAUGAUAUGAAAAAAAGAACCAUCUGAAGGCCAGUCCUGUGGAGGUCAACCUGCCUGCACCUGCUGUCACAGGGGAAGGGUGGAGAGAUGGCAAUCUAGUCUCCUCAGUGGCAGUCCCCAGCCCCCACCCCCACACUUCCUCAGCCUCCCACAGGUUCCCAGGCCAUCACAACCCAGCCAGCAGCUACAACCUUAGCAGCAGAGGCCCCGGAGCAUGGGAGACAAGUCCCUGGGCAGGAGGGUGUGUUCAGAGAAGGGAGGGCAGAGCUGCAGAACUCCCCAGACUCCGCUGAUGAAGCACGGAGGGAAGAUUGUGGUCUAUGAGGCGAUUUGGCAGAGGGCA